UAAAGUAAAAAAAAUAGUUAUGUCUUUCUGUGUACCACAUCAGCUGAAUGCCUUACAUAUUGUUAUAAAUUCUUUUAAUUAUUCAGUUUUAAAUAUUUAAUGACUUUCAUUGUGGUUUCUUCUAUGACAUGUGAAUCAUUUCAUGCUACUUAUUUUUCAAACUGAAUAAUCAGAAUAACAUUGAUAAGAAUAUUGCUUCUCGAAUACUUGUUUUCUCUUUUUCAUGUGGUCAGUUGUGAGAAACAAAAUUCCAAUAUGUGUAAUAUGGGUGCAAGAUUCUAUUCAUUUCCAUUAGAUCAGGCUCUGUGACAGUAGUACUUCUUUUUUUAAAGAUUUUAUUUAUUUAUUCAUGAGAGACAGAGAGAGAGAGAGAGAGAGAGGCAAAGACACAGGCAGAGGGAGAAGCAGGCUCCAUGCAGGGAGCCCAACGCGGGACUCGACCCUGGGACCCUAGGAUCAUGCCCUGAGCCAAAGGCAGGCGCUAAACCGCUGAGCCACCCAGGGAUCCCCUGCCCAGUACUUCUUGAUAAUCAGGCAACUACCCCUCCUCCUUUCUUCAGGUCAUGCUGCUAGUCAAGGUCAUAUGACUAGGUCUAGUGAAUGGAAGCUUCAUGUCUCUCUUUCAGGCUGAAGCAGUGAAAACCCAUGCAUAAUUUUCUGAUCUUUUUUCACCUUCUGCAGUGAAAGAAGUAGCCGCUUGUCCCAGAUAAUAAAUCUAAAAGAUCACAAGCCUCCAUUAGCCUCUGUAGAGAGACAUAGUCAGAGACUCUUUUGAACAAAAUGUGAGUGAGAAAUAAAUGGUGACUAUUGAGUCAUUAAAAUGGCAUCACUUCUCCUAACCUUACAAAUAUGCCUUGUUCAUUAUGUUGUUCAAAUUUUCCUACUUCUUCAGAACUUAUUGUUUGAUUAAUAUAUUUCUGAGAAAUGUGCGUUAAAACUGUUUUGAUUAUAUAUUUGUCAAUUUCUGUUUCCAAUCAUGUCCCUGUGGGAUUUAUAUAUGUUUGAUACAUGCAAAUUCAAAAUCUAAAAUCUUCCUAAUGGGGGUGCCUAGGUGGCACAUUUGAUUGAGCAUCUGACUCUUGGCUCUGGCUCAGGUCUUGAUCUCAGGAUUCUGGGAUAGAGCCACCUCAUUGGCUCUGCAUUCAGCACAGAGUCCAUUUGAGUUCCUCUCUCCCUUGCUCUCUACCCUGCCCCCACACACUCAUGUGCACGCACUCAUGUGCACGUGCUCUCCCUCUCUCUCUCAAAUAAAUAUUUUUAAAAUAAUAAUAAAAUCUUCCUAAUGAAUUGUUUAUAUAUUAUUCAUUAUAUAAUGAUAUUGUAUCACUAAUAAUAGUUUGUAUCUUGCAUCAAUUCUGACAUUGGUAUGAUAUUGAUAAUUUUAAUAUAGUUACAUCAAUUUUAUUUUAAUUAAUGUUUGCUUACUAUAUCCAACUAUACAUAUACAUAUAAGUAGGUACAUACAUACACACACAUGCAUAUGGGCAUGUAAACAUAUUCACAUCAUUUACACAGUUGGAAUAUAUUUUAUCCAAUCAGAAUCUGGGUCUUUUUUUAUUUUUCAGAAGGAGAAGGUUCAGGAAGAGGCAAAGGGAGAGAGAUAAUCCCAUGCAUGGGAGGAGCCCAACAUGGGGCUCAGUGUCAGAACCCUGAGAUCAUGACCCAAGCUGAAAUCAAGAGUCAGUUGCUUAACUGACUGAGCCACUCCGUGCCCCUCUGUCUUCUCAUAGAUGUCUUUAAGCCAUUCAUAUAUCAUUCAUAACUGAUAUAUAUACUUGUUUCUACCACUGUAUUUUGUCAUUUUUCUUCUUUAUACUCCUUUUCUGAAUUAAAUUGAAUAACCAUGUUUUCUUCUUACUUUUUACCUUGGUCAUUUUUAAGAGCCUCACACACACACACACACACACACACACACACACUUUUCUGGUCAAAACUCAAUCUGACUCUACUAUCUGAAGAUUAAACUUUUAAUAAACUCAGGAAAAUUCUUAGAUAAUCUCAAAUAGUCUCACCAAUUACUUAAUUGAGAAAUUAUGGCUCUCAAUUCCUGCAUAGAAAUCUGGGAAUUAAAAUAUAUAAUUUCCUUGAACUAAGCUCCCAAAAUUCAAAUAGUUACUCAGUGCUUUAAAUAUUGUCUUAGAUAUUUUUAAUUCUAUCCCCUUUAUUUUUUAUUUUUUAAUUCUAUCCCCUUUAUUCCAUCCUCUCCAUUACUGUCUUUGUUUAUACCUUCAGCCUCUCACUUGGAGUACUGUAAAGUCCUAACAGGUCUCCCUACCUCAAGUCUUGGCGUGUUGCCUCCUCUAAAUCCACACUGCAUGCAGAGAGGUAUAUGUCUAAAAGUCUGCUAUAACCAGCCAUACCUCUGCCUUAAAGCCCAAAGUUUCCCCAAAUCUAUAAGAUCAGACUUCCUAGCAAAGUAUUCAAAAAUGUACAAAAUUCUUGGUUGCCUGUCUAUUCUUGGCUUCCCAGGUCAUCUCCAGCCACAUCCUCCUGCAAACUUUAGACUCUAGUAGUACCUAAGUACUUGUAGUUCCCUGUAUAGUUCAUGCUGUGACAUACUUUUAGGACUUUGUUCAUGCUAGUUCCUUGUACUUAGUGUCUUGCAACACCCUUCCUAUUUUUUUGAACUCUGAGUAACUCAGUCUUCAUAACACUGCAUGAAUUCUGAGGCUAAUUAUAAGAAGCUUUGCAGAUUCAUCUGAAAUCUCUUGGGAUACUCAUUCACUGGCAGUAUGCAGGCUCCAUGUUGUUGGAAGCCCAAGGACAUGGACAGACUGAUUGUAGAAAAAUCAAUUUAGUCCUAGCUGAAUUCCUAGAUACUGACCAACAUCAACUGCUAGCCAUGAGCCAUCUUGGAUAACCAGUCCUGCUGAGCCUGAAGAUGGUUCCACUCCUGGCCACCAUCUGACUGCAAUCACAUAAGAGACCUACCCCCAACAGGACUUCCCAGAUUCACUUUCUACCCUGCUACAAAUCCAGAAGGACUUCUACCCAGUUACAAACUCCAGGGGAUUCUAUCAAGGGGUUCCACUGAUACCUGACUACCCAAUGGUUCAGAUAAUGGAAAGCUCUAGCAAAAGGUGCAUCUUACAGCACAGAGGUGAAGCUGCAAAAUUACUCAGAAGCUGAGCAUCUCCAAUUUGAAGCAACCCGAGUGGUCAUCUCCUGUAGUCUUCCACUUUGUCACAGUAUUCCUCACAGCAGGACGGCCACCCUGUGUUUGAACACCUCUAAGGACAGGUAGUUCUCUCAGAAGAGCAGCCCACCUUAUCAUUCAAUAGCUCUAGUCAUUAAAAUGUCUGCAGUUAUAUGGUUUCAAAUUAUACCUCUGUAUGAUUUAGGACAUUUUGUCUUCUAGACAUACACAAAUACAAAGUAAGUCUACAUGACAAUGCUUCCAAUAUUUAAAUUAAACUGUUAACGAGUAACUCUUAUCUCCUAUCUCAAAUGUCCAGUUAGGUUCUUCACUAUCCUUACAUGAGUCCUUGUUUAUUCAUAUCCACUUUUAAAAAGGCCAAAACUAGAAUAAUUUAGAUGUGGUAUGACCAACUAGAGAUAACCUGGAUACCACACUAGUAUUGAAAGAGCCUAAAAUACCUUGUUUUUAGCAGUUGCAUCCCACUUAGAGUUCAUUCACAGUUUGUGGUAAAUAAACACCAAACUCUGCUUUUAAGCCAUAUCCUCUAUCUUGUUCUUAGCCAAGU